rnacentral:rRNA from 1 species
AGCGAACGCUGGCGGCAGGCCUAACACAUGCAAGUCGAACGAACCUUUCGGGGUUAGUGGCGGACGGGUGAGUAACACGUGGGAACGUGCCUUUAGGUUCGGAAUAACUCAGGGAAACUUGUGCUAAUACCGAAUGUGCCCUUCGGGAGAAAGAUUAAUCGCCUUUAGAGCGGCCCGCGUCUGAUUAGCUAGUUGGUUGAGGUAAUGGCUCACCACGGCGACGAGCAGUAGCUGGUCGGAGAGGAUGAUCAGCCACAUUGGGACUGAGACACGGCCCAAACGCCUGCGGGAGGCGGGGGAGGGUGAACUUUGGGAGGGGGCGAAACGCUGCAACGCCCCUGCCGGGAGAAUGGUGAAGUGCUUGGAAUUGAAAAUUUCUUUCGCCGGGGAGGAUAAGGGGGGAACCGGGAAAAAAGCCCCCGGUAAACUUGGG